UACGGAGGGUGCAAGCGUUAUCCGGAUUCACUGGGUUUAAAGGGUGCGUAGGUGGGUUGGUAAGUCAGUGGUGAAAUCUCCAGGCUUAACUUGGAAACUGCCAUUGAUACUAUCAAUCUUGAAUACCGUGGAGGUCAGCGGAAUAUGUCAUGUAGCGGUGAAAUGCUUAGAUAUGACAUAGAACACCAAAUUGCGAAGGCAGCUGGCUACACGAAUAUUGACACUGAUGCACGAAAGCGUGGGGAUCAAACAGGAAUUAG
rnacentral:rRNA from 1 species